CGAAAGCCUGACGGAGCAAGACCGCGUGGGGGAAGAAGGCUCUUGGGUUGUCAACCCCUUUUCUCAGGGAAGAAGUUCUGACGGUACCUGAGGAAUAAGCAUCGGCUAACUCCGUGCCAGCAGCCGCGGUAAGACGGAGGAUGCAAGCGUUAUCCGGAAUUAUUGGGCGUAAAGCGUCCGUAGGUGGCUUUUCAAGUCGGCGGUCAAAGACCGGGGCUUAACUCCGGAAAGGCCGUGGAAACUGAAAGGCUAGAGAAAGGUAGGGGUAGGGGGAAUUCCCGGUGUAGCGGUGAAAUGCGUAGAGAUCGGGAAGAACACCGGUGGCGAAAGCGCCCUACUGGACCUUAUCUGACACUGAGGGACGAAAGCUAGGGGAGCG
rnacentral:rRNA from 1 species